rnacentral:rRNA from 1 species
CGCUGGCGGCGUGCUUAACACAUGCAAGUCGAACGGAAAGGCCCUGCUUUUGUGGGGUGCUCGAGUGGCGAACGGGUGAGUAACACGUGAGUAACCUGCCCUUGACUUUGGGAUAACUUCAGGAAACUGGGGCUAAUACCGGAUAGGAGCUCCUGCUGCAUGGUGGGGGUUGGAAAGUUUCGGCGGUUGGGGAUGGACUCGCGGCUUAUCAGCUUGUUGGUGGGGUAGUGGCUUACCAAGGCUUUGACGGGUAGCCGGCCUGAGAGGGUGACCGGCCACAUUGGGACUGAGAUACGGCCCAGACUCCUACGGGAGGCAGCAGUGGGGAAUAUUGCACAAUGGGCGGAAGCCUGAUGCAGCAACGCCGCGUGCGGGAUGACGGCCUUCGGGUUGUAAACCGCUUUCGCCUGUGACGAAGCGUGAGUGACGGUAAUGGGUAAAGAAGCACCGGCUAACUACGUGCCAGCAGCCGCGGUGAUACGUAGGGUGCGAGCGUUGUCCGGAUUUAUUGGGCGUAAAGGGCUCGUAGGUGGUUGAUCGCGUCGGAAGUGUAAUCUUGGGGCUUAACCCUGAGCGUGCUUUCGAUACGGGUUGACUUGAGGAAGGUAGGGGAGAAUGGAAUUCCUGGUGGAGCGGUGGAAUGCGCAGAUAUCAGGAGGAACACCAGUGGCGAAGGCGGUUCUCUGGGCCUUUCCUGACGCUGAGGAGCGAAAGCGUGGGGAGCGAACAGGCUUAGAUACCCUGGUAGUCCACGCUGUAAACGGUGGGUACUAGGUGUGGGGUCCAUUCCACGGGUUCCGUGCCGUAGCUAACGCUUUAAGUACCCCGCCUGGGGAGUACGGCCGCGAGGCUAAAACUCAAAGGAAUUGACGGGGCCCCGCACAAGCGGCGGAGCAUGCGGAUUAAUUCGAUGCAACGCGUAGAACCUUACCUGGGUUUGACAUGGAUCGGGAGUGCUCAGAGAUGGGUGUGCCUCUUUUGGGGUCGGUUCACAGGUGGUGCAUGGCUGUCGUCAGCUCGUGUCGUGAGAUGUUGGGUUAAGUCCCGCAACGAGCGCAACCCUUGUUCACUGUUGCCAGCACGUUAUGGUGGGGACUCAGUGGAGACCGCCGGGGUCAACUCGGAGGAAGGUGGGGAUGACGUCAAGUCAUCAUGCCCCUUAUGUCCAGGGCUUCACGCAUGCUACAAUGGCUGGUACAGAGAGUGGCGAGCCUGUGAGGGUGAGCGAAUCUCGGAAAGCCGGUCUCAGUUCGGAUUGGGGUCUGCAACUCGACCUCAUGAAGUCGGAGUCGCUAGUAAUCGCAGAUCAGCAACGCUGCGGUGAAUACGUUCCCGGGGCUUGUACACACCGCCCGUCAAGUCAUGAAAGUUGGUAACACCCGAAGCCGGUGGCCUAACCGUUGUGGGGGAGCCGUCGAAGGUGGGACUGGUGAUUAGG